rnacentral:rRNA from 1 species
CCUACGGGUGGCAGCAGUGAGGAAUAUUGGUCAAUGGGCGCAAGCCUGAACCAGCGACGCCGCGUGCGGGAUGAAGGGGCUUUGCCUCGUAAACCGCUGUCGGAUGGGACGAAAGAUAGCUUUGAGCUAUUGGGACGGUACCAUCAAAGGAAGGAUCGGCUAACUACGUGCCAGCAGCCGCGGUAAUACGUAGGAUCCGAGCGUUGUCCGGAGUUACUGGGUGUAAAGGGUGCGUAGGCUGUUCUGUGCGUCAGAGGUGAAAUCCACGGGCUUAACUCGUGGGGUGCCUUUGAUACGGCAGGGCUUGAGUACGAGAGAGGUGCGUGGAAUUCCUGGUGUAGCAGUGAAAUGCGUAGAUAUCAGGAGGAACACCGGUGGCGAAGGCGGCGCACUGGCUCGUAACUGACGCUGAGGCACGAAAGCGUGGGGAUCAAACAGGAUUAGAUACCCUUGUAGUC